rnacentral:rRNA from 1 species
AUUGAACGCUGGCGGCAGGCCUAACACAUGCAAGUCGAACGGCAGCACAGAAGAGCUUGCUCUUUGGGUGGCGAGUGGCGGACGGGUGAGUAAUGUCUGGGAAACUGCCCGAUGGAGGGGGAUAACUACUGGAAACGGUAGCUAAUACCGCAUAACGUCGCAAGACCAAAGUGGGGGACCUUCGGGCCUCACACCAUCGGAUGUGCCCAGAUGGGAUUAGCUAGUAGGUGGGGUAAUGGCUCACCUAGGCGACGAUCCCUAGCUGGUCUGAGAGGAUGACCAGCCACGCUGGAACUGAGACACGGUCCAGACUCCUACGGGAGGCAGCAGUGGGGAAUAUUGCACAAUGGGCGCAAGCCUGAUGCAGCCAUGCCGCGUGUAUGAAGAAGGCCUUCGGGUUGUAAAGUACUUUCAGCGGGGAGGAAGGCGGUGAGGUUAAUAACCUCGCCGAUUGACGUUACCCGCAGAAGAAGCACCGGCUAACUCCGUGCCAGCCGCCGCUGUAAUAC